CGACUCCUCACGAGUGCUAGUUCGUUGUAGAGCCCUUUUGACGGUCGAUGCUGAUCGAACUCCUUCGAUCGAUGUCUGUCGAUUCUUCGGAUGCUCCGGAUCAUCAACAGACGUGUUUGAGAGGAUGUUGAAGAUCUUUAUGAGAUUUUAUGGGCUCAUGACACUCGUAGCUCACUUUUUCACUUUUCGAACCCCAGGCUAAAACUCUAGGGAACUCAC
rnacentral:lncRNA from 1 species